rnacentral:lncRNA from 1 species
CAGCACUUUGGGAGGCCAAGGCAGGUGGAUCACGAGGUCAGGAGAUUGGGACCAUCCUGGCUAACACGUUGAAACCCCGUCUCUGCUAAAAAUCCAAAAAGUUAGCUGGGCGUGGUGGCACACACCUGUAAUUCCAACUAUUCGGGAGGCUGAGGCAGGAGAAUCGCUUGAACCCAGGAGGCAGAGGUUGCAAUGAGCUGAGAUCGCGCCGCUGCACUCCAGCCUGGGCGACAGAGCAACAAGACUCCGUCUCAAAAAAAAAAAAAGACACAAUUCUUACGUGGCUUGAGACUUCAAAGCCAAAAGAAACAAUAAUGUAUGGAAAAAAAAUAUUUGCCAUAUAUGUGAUAAGCAGGGUUAAUAUCCCUGAUAUUUCAAAAUUCUACAAAUAGAUGAGUAUGUAUAUAGCCAGCAUACAACAGUGUAUACUGCCUGAGCAACAUAUGUAACUUUUUAUUAGUACCUAUGGGAAAAAAUAAACCAGACCCAGGUAUCUGAUGGGUCAGUAGCUUUUUUCUUCUUUAAGUAUACAGACU